rnacentral:rRNA from 1 species
UACGUAGGGGGCGAGCGUUGUCCGGAUUUAUUGGGCGUAAAGAGCGUGUAGGCGGCCAGGUAGGUCUGCUGUGAAAACUCGAGGCUCAACCUCGAGACGUCGGCGGAAACCAUCUGGCUAGAGUCCGGAAGAGGAGAGUGGAAUUCCUGGUGUAGCGGUGAAAUGCGCAGAUAUCAGGAAGAACACCAGCGGCGAAGGCGGCGCUCUGGGCCGGUACUGACACUGAGGAGCGAAAGCGUGGGUAGCAAACAGG